AGCGAGGUAGCAAUACCUAGCGGCAGACGGGUGAGUAACAUGUGGGGAUCUGCCUGUUAGAGGGGGAUAAGCCGAGGAAACUUGGACUAAUACCGCAUACGCUCUGAGGAGGAAAGUAUGGGACAAUAAAAUGCCAUACGCUAACAGAUGAACCUGCGUUAGAUUAGCUAGUUGGUAGGGUAAAGGCCUACCAAGGCGACGAUCUAUAGCUGGUCUGAGAGGAUGACCAGCCACACUGGAACUGAGAUACGGACCAGACUCC
rnacentral:rRNA from 1 species